CCCUUAGAUGUUCUGGGCUGCACGCGCGCUACACUGAUACUUUCAGCGAGUCCACCACCUUGUCUGAGAGGGUGGGGUAACCUCUGGAAAGUGUAUCGUGAUGGGGAUCGAUUAUUGUAAUUAUUAAUCUUCAACGAGGAAUUCCUAGUAAGCAUGUGUCAUCAGCCCGUGCUGAUUACGUCCCUGCCCUUUGUACACACCGCCCGUCACUCCUACCGAUUGAGUGGUCCGGUGAGGCUUUGGGAUCUGAGCGGAAAGAGCGUUUCGCUGUUUCUGCCCGGAAAACUCAGUCGAACCUUAUCAUUUAGAGGAAGGAGAAGUCGUAACA
rnacentral:rRNA from 1 species